AAACCACCAUUGAUUACAGAACAGAAAAUUCCAGCAAGGGGUCAAGCACUGUUCAGACGCAGAGGAGUCAUGACGGUCUUCCAGAAGAAGGUGAUUUCGAGCAGAGAUCUGAAUGAAGAGGAGACAGGCUUCAUGAACUCUAUGCUGGGCUCUGAGGAUGCCUUGAAAACCAAUUGCCC